CAAAGACCACCUCUACGUUCUCAGUGCUUCUCCGGAGGAUCUCAGGGAAGUGCCGCUUGUACUUUCUGUUGAUAACCUUCAGCAUGGCUUCCCUCGUAAUGGGCUCUUUCCUUAUAUACUUGUUGAGCAGGAACUGCACCAAUUCGCCCGUCUUCGUGUUCAGAAGAUCUCUUCCUGUGCUCUCAGAGGAGGACGGGCCAUGGAAAGAGUUGGGACUUUCCCCCUUUUGGCCCUUGGCACCUUCAUCAGAACUUAGCCUGGGACUCCUUUCUCCGCUGACCUGGGGCAGCCAGUCUUGCAACCAAAGCCCUCCUCUGCUGAAACCCUCCGUGCAGCCCUGUCUACUGAGGGCUCAGGAUCUUCACCUUGCUACUUGACCAGUCCUGGGACUCCAUCCUCAGCUCACCACAGGCAACACCCUUCACAGCAAGAUCCUUGCUUCAAUGGGACCUCAGAUUUGGACAUUCAGGUUUCUGGGGCUCCACUAUGCACAGCUGGGGCUUCCCCCACCAGACCAAGAUUCUCUCUUCCCUGAGACCCUCCAGGCCGAAAUGACAGUCACCUCAACCUGACAGCUCUUCCUGGGCUUCCCAAGUCACGGGAGAGGUGGGAUUUGGGAAGCAAUGCUAAGCAGUGGAAUGGACAUCGACAUAGAGAGAUCAGCUCCACACUUAUACUCUGCCACUCAACUUCCCCAUGUGACUUGAGGAUCACUCUAACUCCAAAACAUAGCAAGCUCGCGGAACAUCAUUCAUGCAAAGUAUUCCAAGGAGCCCCUUGAAGCAACAGAAUGGAUUUCUCUUCUAUGGUGGAAUGGCACCCUGGAUGAUUAAAACUGUAGCAGCAAACAAAACCUCCAUCAAGUAAGAAUUCAGAGUGUGAGAUAUCACACACAGCCACACGUGGAUCUUUAUAUACGUGACAAUGUGUUUCGUUGUAUUUUUGCUUUAAAAGUAUGUAUUGAGCAUUUCUUCUAGGUCCUCAGUAACAUCUUUUUAAGAAAAAUAAAUGCUUAGGGAAUUGUUUUAUAUUAAA
rnacentral:antisense_RNA from 1 species